CAGGCCGUGGAUGACGUCACGCACACGCGAACGUCUCGGGGAACGCCUCCGUCACGUGACAUUCGGCGCAUAUUCGGCGCCUUCUUCAAAUGGCGGUCAAUCGGGAAUUGCCUGGAGAAGAACCCUGCCACAGUGCUCCACUGAAUGAUUUAAGAAGCAAAAGCUUUUAUUGGAGCUGAAAAAAUAUCCUCAGGAAGGACAUGAACUCCUAAGGGUACCAACUGAGAUGUACUAUGUACCUUUGAAGGUGUCUCUUUUCUACUUGUUGAAUCCAUACACCGUUCUGUCUUGUGUGGCCAAAUCCACGUGUGUAAUUAACAAUGCCGUGAUUGCUCUUUUUAUCCUGGCAACUGUUAAAGGUAGCCUGUUACUAAAUGCUGUGUUUCUGUCGCUGGCAACCUAUCAGUCUCUGUAUCCAGUCACCUUAUUGCCACCAGCGCUGCUCUACUUGCUUCAGGUGCCUGGUCAAACUGAUGUGUAGGCAACUGCU